rnacentral:rRNA from 1 species
UUGAUCCUGGCUCAGGACGAACGCUGGCGGCGUGCCUAAUACAUGCAAGUCGAACGCUUCUUUCCUCCCGAGUGCUUGCACUCAAUUGGAAAGAGGAGUGGCGGACGGGUGAGUAACACGUGGGUAACCUACCCAUCAGAGGGGGAUAACACUUGGAAACAGGUGCUAAUACCGCAUAACAGUUUAUGCCGCAUGGCAUAAGAGUGAAAGGCGCUUUCGGGUGUCGCUGAUGGAUGGACCCGCGGUGCAUUAGCUAGUUGGUGAGGUAACGGCUCACCAAGGCCACGAUGCAUAGCCGACCUGAGAGGGUGAUCGGCCACACUGGGACUGAGACACGGCCCAGACUCCUACGGGAGGCAGCAGUAGGGAAUCUUCGGCAAUGGACGAAAGUCUGACCGAGCAACGCCGCGUGAGUGAAGAAGGUUUUCGGAUCGUAAAACUCUGUUGUUAGAGAAGAACAAGGACGUUAGUAACUGAACGUCCCCUGACGGUAUCUAACCAGAAAUCCACGGCUAACUACGUGCCAGCAGCCGCGGUAAUACGUAGGUGGCAAGCGUUGUCCGGAUUUAUUGGGCGUAAAGCGAGCGCAGGCGGUUUCUUAAGUCUGAUGUGAAAGCCCCCGGCUCAACCGGGGAGGGUCAUUGGAAACUGGGAGACUUGAGUGCAGAAGAGGAGAGUGGAAUUCCAUGUGUAGCGGUGAAAUGCGUAGAUAUAUGGAGGAACACCAGUGGCGAAGGCGGCUCUCUGGUCUGUAACUGACGCUGAGGCUCGAAAGCGUGGGGAGCAAACAGGAUUAGAUACCCUGGUAGUCCACGCCGUAAACGAUGAGUGCUAAGUGUUGGAGGGUUUCCGCCCCUUCAGUGGCUGCACCAAACGCAUUAAAGCACUCCGCUUGGGGAGUACGACCGCAAGGGUUGAACUUCAAAGGAAUUGACGGGGGCCCGCACAAGCGGUGGAGCAUGUGGUUUAAUUGGAAGCAACGCGAAGAACCUUACCAGGUCUGGACAUCCUUUGACCACUCUAGAGAUAGAGCUUUCCCUUCGGGGACAAAGUGACAGGUGGUGCAUGGUUGUCGUCAGCUCGUGUCGUGAGAUGUUGGGUUAAGUCCCGCAACGAGCGCAACCCUUAUUGUUAGUUGCCAUCAUUUAGUUGGGCACUCUAGCGAGACUGCCGGUGACAAACCGGAGGAAGGUGGGGAUGACGUCAAAUCAUCAUGCCCCUUAUGACCUGGGCUACACACGUGCUACAAUGGGAAGUACAACGAGUCGCUAGACCGCGAGGUCAUGCAAAUCUCUUAAAGCUUCUCUCAGUUCGGAUUGCAGGCUGCAACUCGCCUGCAUGAAGCCGGAAUCGCUAGUAAUCGCGGAUCAGCACGCCGCGGUGAAUACGUUCCCGGGCCUUGUACACACCGCCCGUCACACCACGAGAGUUUGUAACACCCGAAGUCGGUGAGGUAACCUUUUUGGAGCCAGCCGCCUAAGGUGGGAUAGAUGAUUGGGGU